GAUGAACGCUGGCGGCGUGCUUAACACAUGCAAGUCGAACGGAAAGGCCCAAGCUUGCUUGGGUGCUCGAGUGGCGAACGGGUGAGUAACACGUGGGUGAUCUGCCCUGCACUUUGGGAUAAGCCUGGGAAACUGGGUCUAAUACCGGAUAGGACCAUCGUUUAGUGUCGGUGGUGGAAAGUUUUUCGGUGUGGGAUGAGCUCGCGGCCUAUCAGCUUGUUGGUGGGGUAAUGGCCUACCAAGGCGUCGACGGGUAGCCGGCCUGAGAGGGUGUACGGCCACAUUGGGACUGAGAUACGGCCCAGACUCCUACGGGAGGCAGCAGUGGGGAAUAUUGCACAAUGGGCGCAAGCCUGAUGCAGCGACGCCGCGUGGGGGAUGACGGCCUUCGGGUUGUAAACUCCUUUCGCCAAGGACGAAGCGUUUUGUGACGGUACUUGGAGAAGAAGCACCGGCUAACUAUGUG
rnacentral:rRNA from 1 species